UACGUAGGGGGCAAGCGUUGUCCGGAUUUAUUGGGCGUAAAGAGCGUGUAGGCGGCCUUACAGGUCAGCUGUGAAAACUCGAGGCUCAACCUCGAGACGUCGGUUGAAACCGUAUGGCUAGAGUCCGGAAGAGGAGAGUGGAAUUCCCGGUGUAGCGGUGAAAUGCGCAGAUAUCGGGAAGAACACCCGUGGCGAAGGCGGCUCUCUGGGACGGUACUGACGCUGAGGCACGAAAGCGUGGGGAGCAAACAGG
rnacentral:rRNA from 1 species